GCAGGAUAGCUCAGCUGGUAGGGCAUGAGAGUCCUAAUCUCAGGAUCGCGGGUUCGAGCCCCACAAUGGGCA